GAUGAACGCUGGCGGCGUGCCUAAUACAUGCAAGUCGAGCGAACUGAUUAGAAGCUUGCUUCUAUGACGUUAGCGGCGGACGGGUGAGUAACACGUGGGCAACCUGCCUGUAAGACUGGGAUAACUUCGGGAAACCGAAGCUAAUACCGGAUAGGAUCCUCUCCUUCAUGGGAGAUGAUUGAAAGAUGGUUUCGGCUAUCACUUACAGAUGGGCCCGCGGUGCAUUAGCUAGUUGGUGAGGUAACGGCUCACCAAGGCAACGAUGCAUAGCCGACCUGGGAGGGUGAUCGGCCACACUGGGACUGAGACACGGCCCAGACUCCUACGGGAGGCAGCAGUAGGGAAUCUUCCGCAAUGGACGAAAGUCUGACGGAGCAACGCCGCGUGAGUGAUGAAGGCUUUCGGGUCGUAAAACUCUGUUGUUAGGGAAGAACAAGUACGAGAGUAACUGCUCGUACCUUGACGGUACCUAACCAGAAAGCCACGGCUAACUACGUGCCAGCAGCCGCAGUAAGAC
rnacentral:rRNA from 1 species